GGUCAAGCUACAAAGAGCUCACGGCGGAUACCUUGGCACACAGAGGCGAUGAAGGACGUGGUUACCUGCGAUAAGUCUCGGGGAGCUGGAAACACGCUUUGAUCCGGGAAUUUCCGAAUGGGGCAACCCCUAGUACGGCCAGCUGA
rnacentral:rRNA from 1 species